GUGGCUCUUUGCAAGACUCCAGACAGAGGAGCGAAAAGGAUGAUCAGAAGAGUUCUCCAAGAUCUGCAAGAAGACCUGAAAUCAGCAGUAUUAAGUCAGAACUGGGGGUGAAAUGCAAAACACUACAGGAUGCACUUUCAGCCUGUCUAAUGUAGACAACACACCAGACAUUAAAUCGGGGAGAAGUGCAGCGGCUCGUAGAGGUGCUGCACAGACCCAAGACACCGAAACCUGCCGUUGACCAUGAUGGCCAUCCUGGUGCAAAGUGCCUCGCACUCCUCCAUGCUGACAAUACAAACAUUUAGAGACGGCAGUAAAUAUUUUGCCUUUACAAUACAAAACUCCAUCGGGAAUGAAUUAAAGCUGAACUGAC